rnacentral:rRNA from 1 species
AGUGGCAGACGGGUGAGUAAUGUAUAGGAAUCUACCUAGUAGUACGGAAUAAUUGUUGGAAACGGCAACUAAUACCGUAUACGCCCUACGGGGGAAAAAUUUAUUGCUAUUAGAUGAGCCUAUAUUAGAUUAGUUAGUUGGUGAGGUAAAGGCUUACCAAGACAAUGAUCUAUAGCUGAUCUGAGAGGAUGAUCAGCCACACUGGAACUGAGAUACGGUCCAGACUCCUACGGGAGGCAGCAGUGGGGAAUAUUGGACAAUGGGCGAAAGCCUGAUCCAGCCAUGCCGCAUGAGUGAAGAAGGCCUUCGGGUUGUGAAGCUCUUUUAGUGAGGAAGAUAAUGACGGUACUCACAGAAGAAGUCCUGGCUAACUCCGUGCCAGCAGCCGCGGUAAUACGGAGAGGGCUAGCGUUAUUCGGAAUCAUUGGGCGUAAAGGGCGCGUAGGCGGGUUAGUAAGUUAAAAGUGAAAUCCCAAGGCUCAACCUUGGAACUGCUUUUAAAACUGCUAGUCUAGAGAUUGAAAGAGGAUAGAGGAAUUCCUAGUGUAGAGAUGAAAUUCGUAAAUAUUAGGAGGAACACCAGUGGCGAANGCGUCUAUCUGGUUCAAAUCUGACGCUGAGGCGCGAAGGCGUGGGGAGCAAACAGGAUUAGAUACCCUGGUAGUCCACGCUGUAAACGAUGAAUGUUAAAUAUGGGAAGUUUACUUUCUGUAUUAUAGCUAACGCGUUAAACAUUCCGCCUGGGGACUACNGUCGC